AGGGCACCACGCCAGCCUAUAAGCAGCCGCAGGGGUUGAGCCCUGCAGAGCCCCAGAGGCAGAGCUGCCCAAGGCUUUGGGAGCCCACCUCUUGCAUCACUGUGCCCUGGAUGUGAGACGUGGAAUCAAGGAGAUUAUUUUGGAGCUUUAAGACGUAAUGGCACCCUGCUGGGUUUCAGACUUGAGUGGAGCCUGCAGCCUUUCUUUCGGCCGGUUUCUCCCUUUUGGAACGGGAGUAUUUACCCAAUGCCUGUACCCCCAUGGUGGCAGCUGAGGCUUACUACCCCAGGAAAGGGAUGCCACCAGAGAAGGCAGACAACCAAGAUGGCGACUCUCAAUUUUUGAGCUCCUAAUUUUCUCAUGUCAGACAUAAGAAAAAAAAAUAUUUUUUAAAGAAAAAGCUUUAGGUUGCAAAAAUCUAGGCCUUUCAACUUUAAAAUCCUAUUCUUGCAAGCCUUGGAGAAUAAAGCUUAUGCAUAAACAGUAGAUUUGGAAACAGAAAUAUGCCUAAUUACCCAGAGCCAUUCUUUCAAUACGCCAGUGAUUGUUUAAAGAUUCUAUAGGCUGGAGUCAAUGGCAGGAGGCGGGUGGGAAAAGAGUCAAGAGGGAGGAGAGAAGAAGCAAGAGGGUUGGGUAGAUAUUGUCACAUGACCCUGAGAGGAGGAUUCUGGGUCAAACCCCUAGGGGGUUGUGUGUAAUGGAGACUCCAGAUCCAUUUGGGAAUCUGGCUCCAAAGAAGACUUCACCUUGCCUUCUGAGUGGAGCCCUGAAGUGGCAAGACUCAUAGAAUUCCCCCACGGGUCCACACAAGAGAGAAUGAAUAGAGAAGGCUGCGUGCUGGCUGGACCAAGGCAGCCUCGGGUGACACCACCACCACCACCGCCGCUGCCGCCAUCGCCAUCACCACUGCCGCUGCCAUCACCGCCACCACCACCACCAUCACCACCACCAUCACCACAUUAUGGACAAUAGCCCAAUGUUUCCUGAGUUCCCUAGAGGGUUGAAAGAGAAUAGGACCUAGAGAGAUCACAUAGUUGGGACAGGCACUCAUUAAUUUGAUCCAAUGACAAGAGACCAGAUGGGAAGAAGGAUGCCUUGAGAGAUGUCAGUGUGCACCCAUGGAUAGAAGCAGCUGGUGACUGGGUACUUGGGAAGCCACAUGGACACACACAAAGCUCCUGGAAGACGUUUUCAAGGAGUUGGGCUGUGCUGGGAUCCAGAACUGGCUGAAGAAACCAUGAGCUGACAUAAAAUUUCUGCCACCUAGCAGAAUGGAGGCUCCAUUUGGAAAUUAAAUUAUAUACUUAAAAAAACUAUAA
ensembl:lncRNA LINC00570 long intergenic non-protein coding RNA 570